rnacentral:lncRNA from 1 species
UAUUUAUUUAUUUUCUUUCUUUGCCGGCAGAAGUCCCCCUGAGGUUAAUGCACAGAUGGCACUAGAUACUUGAAAGUCGUCUGAAUAUUAAGAAUUUAAAUCUCUAGCCUCAGUGAUUUGAACAGAAAGCCAAUUAUGGGGCUGAAUUAGUUUUCAAAUUAAACUGCAAUUGAAGGCUUGUGAAAUUAAUCCUUUAAGGCGCAUGGCAGCGUUGGUACAUGAAUCCAGAGCCAAGCCCUUGCCAGCGCGGACGGCGCCCAUGAGAGGACCGAGGGGGAGGUGGCCCCAGCUUCCCGGGCAGACCCUUAUGAGACAAACCCGAUUAUCUCCACCCAUCAUUCCCUCCUGAAUCCACUGACAAACCAGCCCUGGUGAGUUCGCUGGGGCCUCCCAGGGCAAGGCCAAGUGCAGCAGUUGUCCUGUUGCCCUUGACCCCUGGCUGUGGUCCUCUCUGGGGCUGCACGGGGCCACUCUCCU